rnacentral:rRNA from 1 species
UGGCGGCAGGCUUAAUACAUGCAAGUCGAACGGUAAGGCCGAGCGUAGCAAUACGUGAGGUACACGAGUGGCGCACGGGUGCGUAACGCGUAUGCAACCUGCCCUCAACCGGGACAAAACAGCUGGAAACGGCUGCUAAUAUCCCAUGGUCAUUACGGGUGGCAUCAUUUGUAAUGUAAAGAUUUAUUGGUUGAGGAUGGGCAUGCGUAUUAUUAGCUAGUUGGCGGGGUAACGGCCCACCAAGGCGACGAUGAUUAGGGGUUCUGAGAGGAUUAACCCCCACACUGGAACUGAGACACGGUCCAGACUCCUACGGGAGGCAGCAGUAGGGAAUAUUGGGCAAUGGAGGCAACUCUGACCCAGCCAUGCCGCGUGAAGGAAGACGGCCCUAUGGGUUGUAAACUUCUUUUAUCGUAGAGUAAACCUGCCCACGUGUGGGCAGUUGAGAGUAUACGAGGAAUAAGUAUCGGCUAACUCCGUGCCAGCAGCCGCGGUAAUACGGGGGAUACGAGCGUUAUCCGGAUUUAUUGGGUUUAAAGGGUGCGCAGGCGGAUCGGUAAGUCAGGGGUGAAAAGUUGGGGCUCAACUCCAAUCGUGCCUUUGAUACUGCCGGACUAGAGUGCGAUAGACGUGGCCGGAAUGUGAUGUGUAGCGGUGAAAUGCUUAGAUAUGUCACAGAACACCGAUCGAGAAGUCAGGUCACGAGCUCGCAACUGACGCUCAGGCACGAAAGCGUGGGGAUCAAACAGGAUUAGAUACCCUGGUAGUCCACGCUGUAAACGAUGAUCACUCGUUGUUGGGCAGCAAUGUUCAGCGGCCAAGCGAAAGCAAUAAGUGAUCCACCUGGGGAGUACGGCCGCAAGGUUGAAACUCAAAGGAAUUGACGGGGGCCCGCACAAGCAGCGGAGCAUGUUGUUUAAUUCGAUGCAACGCGAAGAACCUUACCAGGUCUUGACAUCGAUGUAAAGCGGUAGAGAUACCGUGUCUCUUCGGAGGACAGAAGACAGGUGGUGCAUGGUUGUCGUCAGCUCGUGUCGUGAGAUGUUGGGUUAAGUCCCGCAACGAGCGCAACCCCUAUGAUCAGUUACUAACGCGUAGAGGCGAGGACUCUGAUGAGACUGCCGGGGACAACUCGGAGGAAGGUGGGGACGACGUCAAAUCAUCAUGCCCCUUAUGACCUGGGCUACAAACGUGCUACAAUGGCGACUACAAAGAGGAGCGAGCCUGUGAGGGUAAGCGGAUCUCAAAAAAGUCGACCCAGUUCGGAUUGUGGGCUGCAACCCGCCCACAUGAAGUUGGAGUUGCUAGUAAUCGCGGAUCAGAAUGCCGCGGUGAAUACGUUCCCGGGCCUUGCACACACCGCCCGUCAAG